UGGGGAAUUUUGGACAAUGGGGGAAACCCUGAUCCAGCCAUCCCGCGUGUGCGAUGAAGGCCUUCGGGUUGUAAAGCACUUUUGGCAGGAAAGAAACGUCAUGGGUUAAUACUCCGUGCAACUGACGGUACCUGCAGAAUAAGCACCGGCUAACUACGUGCCAGCAGCCGCGGUAAUACGUAGGGUGCAAGCGUUAAUCGGAAUUACUGGGCGUAAAGCGUGCGAAGGCGGUUCGGAAAGAGAGAUGUGAAAUCCCAGAGCUCAACUUUGGAACUGCAAUUUUAACUACCGAGCUAGAGUGUGUCAGAGGGAGGUGAAAUUCCGCGUGUAGCAGUGAAAUGCGUAGAUGUGCGGAGGAACACCUAUGGCGAAGGCAGCCUCCUGGGAUAACACUGACGCUCAUGCACGAAAGCGUGGAGAGCAAACAGG
rnacentral:rRNA from 1 species